GCCUGGCUGGCUCAGUGGGAAGAGCAUGUGACUCUAGAUCUCAGGGUCAUGAGUUUGAGCCCCAUGUUGGGUG
rnacentral:tRNA from 1 species